CUUGUUGUUCCUGAAGGUCAAAUUAUUCAAUUUGGGGGAAAUUACAAAUGUUUUGUUCUGGCAAUUGUGAACUCACUCUGCAUUUUCUGUGUGCCCUUUGUAUGGGAGCAUCAUCAUUUCCUUGUGUGCUCCACAUUCACUGAAGUCACAAAACUCUGGCCAGCAUGCAGAGGUCUUCUGUAGUGACUCGAUACAUUUGACAAAAUUUACAUUACUAAGGCUUUGCAAUCAAGCGGACUGUAGAGCGAACCAUGAGGCAUGAAUUAGGCCUUACUCAGCUUAUGUGGGCCCACUCAGUGGUCACCCACCCACAUGGGGCCCACACACACACACACACACACACACACACUGACUGAGAGGUGCUAUCUCACUAAACACUAAUGUGUUUUUAACUACUGGCCAAACUUGAAAGAUAUCUCUAAACUAUGACUCUACAGGACUAGAAAUGUUUCAGUUUGCUGUAUCAUGUCAUAAAAAAUAUAACAAGCAAGAAUAUAUCCUCGUUCGUUGCACGAUUGUACGAUAGGUUGAAGAUUACGAGUUAUGUGUAUCCAGUUUUGAAAUUGAAACUAAAAAGAUAACUAAAAGCUGGUUUGACGUCAAAACGGCAAGAGUGAUGGUUUCUUUCCAACCAACUAACGUUCCAGUCUAAAAUGGCCGCCUUGUGUAUAAAAUUUGCAAAAAGCAAUUUAUCUGCAUUUCUUUCACUCUUUCACACAACCUUUUGUGAGCGGGUGCUACCAUGUUAAAACUAUCAUAGUAUAGGAUUAUAUUAAGUUAUCCUACUCACAGAGCAUAUCUGCAAGCAAAUCCAACUGCUUUUCAAGCCUGGAACUAAAAACAUUUAAGAUGGAUUAAAUAUAAGCCAUUGUAGUUUACAGUGUGAGUUCUCAUUGCUUCCUGUCGAUGCAAUGAUCAAUAUGGUGAAAGAACACAUCAUUUUGUCUUUUGGUGCUAUUGAGUUCAAUACCAAUCAAACCCAACUAGCAUUCCUAUUAAUAAGGAGAUCUGUAGUUUUUAUUCUUUGAUAGAAAUAUAUCAAAAUAUACCCAUUAGUCUCUGACCUAACAGGUAUAUUUCUAACUGGGCUGGUUUAGGAGGAUUUCUGGGACAGGAGAGAGGCCUGCUGUCUGAAUCACACUCUGUUAGGCAUGCCGUUGUGGAUGGAUUUGAUUUUUGAGGUACAUAUCGACUUCUAGGUUUUUAAGCCUCGUCCAUGUGAAAAUACUUUUUAUAAAACGACCUUUGCUUCACAUAGUCACAAUAUCAUCUAUGGAUAUCCUCAUUUUUGUAAAAAUAACACAGCUACGUAGCUAUGCUAUGCGUCUGUGUGCUGAUGCAAGUCAGGCACUAAAAUUGACCAAAAACAAAAUGGAAGUCAUGAGUCGUGUGCUCAAAGCUUUCUUUUGUUGCAUGCAGUGAGAAUUGGACUGAUAACUAGCUCAGAGAUGGAGCUGCAUCAUUCAUUUCAUCUAGUUGCUUAAUGAACAUCCAACAUAAAAAAAACAAUUAAAACAUCUCGCAUUUUGAAACUUUACUUUGGAAAUGUUAAAAAUGUGCUCACCAAGCACCCAUUCAUUAGAAAGAUAAGCAAAAAUGCAUAUUUUGUGAAUCUGAAACCAAAAACCCUGGUCCAUCAUACAACAAAGGCCUUGCUCACCUGUUUUUUGUUUUUGUUUUUUAACAAGCUUUUAGUCAUAGUUGGACAUGGAAGAUGCAUUCAAAUUUGUUUCACUAUAAGUAAAUUGUUUUUCCAUUCGCCUGCUCGGUAAUAACUAAAUAGGACAUCGGCUGUAGAGUUUGAUCUAUUCUUGGCGCAGAAUUGGAAAGCCUCAAAGAUGACUGAAUAUCCCUGAAGUCCCAGCAUGCUCCAUUUAGACCAUGACUGACAGUAUUUGAUGUGCACUGUUGAACAAGAGAGCUCAAAUCUGUUUUUUGUUAUGUACGUAUCUCUGGUUUUGAUGUCAGGCAGAGCAAAUAUAAAUUGGUGAAAGGUUAAAUUAUGCUGAGGUUAUGCAAUUUGUAUUUUAUGCUCAAUUUAAGAUCAAAGGGUGUUUUUUUUCUUCUUUUUACAAUCAUUGUAUUCAUAAACUGUCACAUAUUUCAUUAAGCUGACUAGAACAAUAUUUAGUCCACCAUCUUUUUGGAUUUUGUAACUUCCAAUUUUUUAUUGCAUUUCUAUAUCAAUUAAGCAAGAUUUAUUUUAUGCAUAAUAUUGUAUUUAGUUAAGUAGACAAUUAAGAGAAAUCAGAAAAAUACAACAGACUGCCAUUGUGGCAAGGUCAACACAAAUACAUGAAUUCCUUUGUGAAAAUAAUCAAUAAUACUCUCUCGUAUACAGUGCUUCAAUAAUUGUUUUAUUUUGUAUUUGUAGGGAAAUGUUGUCAGUGCUGCUCCAGAAGGUUGCAUUAGCCGGCGUUGAAGAAAAUCUGCCAGUAAACAGGAUGAGGAGCGACUGUCAGCCUGCAGAUGGAAACAAGGGUGGGUGGCUGGAAGGCUGGAUAAAGGCUGGUGGAUGACUGAACCCGGUGACCCGGUGCAGCUCAUCAUCAUUGCCGGGGGCCUCUCGUCUUCUUCCUCGUCUCCCGUGGCUCGUACCUCCAUCCAGGGGUCUAGCGGAGCCCAGCGAAGCCCAGCCGGGGAGCUAGUGAGUGGGCUGGGAAGGAUGGAGAAGGUCCCUGAAGGCAAAAAUCACCUCUGGAGCUAUCAGCGUGCUAGAGAAAUCGAUAUGAAACACAGAAUCUUCACAGCUUUGAGUGGGGUUUCCUGUGUUUUUAAGUGUGUGGCCCGGAGGCCCUGCAGACCUGCAAAGGACAUCCCCUGCGCGUCUCUCUCAGCUGCAGCCCCGGCUCCUUCUCUGGACCCUGAUCUCCACUGGCUGCGUGUGGUUCUGCUGAAGGGGUGUUUCUCCCCAAAUGAUACCCAGAGUUU